rnacentral:rRNA from 2 species
GGUCUGAGAGGAUGAUCAGUCACACUGGAACUGAGACACGGUCCAGACUCCUACGGGAGGCAGCAGUGGGGAAUAUUGGACAAUGGGCCAAAGCCUGAUCCAGCCAUGCCGCGUGUGUGAAGAAGGUCUUCGGAUUGUAAAGCACUUUAAGUUGGGAGGAAGGGCAGUUACCUAAUACGUGACUGUUUUGACGUUACCGACAGAAUAAGCACCGGCUAACUCUGUGCCAGCAGCCGCGGUAAUACAGAGGGUGCAAGCGUUAAUCGGAAUUACUGGGCGUAAAGCGCGCGUAGGUGGUUUGUUAAGUUGGAUGUGAAAGCCCCGGGCUCAACCUGGGAACUGCAUCCAAAACUG